GUCAGCAGCCGCGGUAAUACGGAGGAUGCAAGCGUUAUCCGGAAUUAUUGGGCGUAAAGCGUCCGUAGGUGGUUAAUCAAGUCAGUUGUUAAAGCGUGGGGCUUAACCCCAUAAAGGCGAUUGAAACUGAUUGACUAGAGUUUCGUAGGGGUCAGGGGAAUUCCCAGUGUAGCGGUGAAAUGCGUUGAUAUUGGGAAGAACCCCGGUGGCGAAAGCSCCUGACUGGGCCUGAACUGACMCUGAGGGACGAAAGCUAGGGGAGCGAAAGGGAUUAGAUWCCCCUGUAGUCCUAGCUGUWAACGAUGGAGWCUAGGUGUUKCCCGUAUCGMCCCGGGCAGUKCCGUAGCUAACGCGUUAAGUWUCCCGCCUGGGGAGUACGCUCGCAAGAGUGAAACUUAAAUAAAUUGACGGCUGUCUCUUAUAC
rnacentral:rRNA from 1 species